ensembl:lncRNA
AUGGUCGAAUCAGUUGUUCGUGGCUACCUUUGUGAGCCGCAAUAUAGCGAGCAGCGGCUGAGGCUUCUGCAGCCGAGGCAGAGGACCUGCCUGUCGCGAACGAGGAGCCCGGACUGGCUCGAGCUGGGGCGGACUGCUGGUGCCUGUGCUCUCGCUGUGCGCCUACGGACACACAGACGUCUGACUGUAAAACAAUAUCGCCUAACAGCCUUUCUGGAAUGGGUCCUGCAAGGCGAGAGAUUGGGUCGAGGCCAUCGUGUCGUUUUACCCGCUGAUGUGGUGCAGGCUAUCCGACAGAAAUAUCCAGCUGCAGAUGGCCAGUACUGCGGAACCGAGACGUUGAGGACGCUCAGGAGGAACUACAACUGUCAUUGUUAACAUAUUUAUUUUUGUUGUUGUUGAUAUAUUUCUGUAAAUAAAUGCUUUACAUUCACGUUGUUGUAGUCCUUGUUGGUGGGAGCGGCUUGCGGAGCUGUGCAUUGUGGGAGUUGUUGUCUUUAAUACAAAUGCGCCCUAAAGUCACUUUCUGUCUUUUCUCGGUCAAAUAGGCACCAAAUACAAAAUGUAUGUUACAUUUUGACUACAUAUAUAACCCACUUUCAAUAAAUAUUAAUGUUUCCACGGGUGAAAUGCUCCUUUAAGGCCUUCACCUGGGAAAAAGUGUUGAGAUGUUUUUGCAGAAUAAUUAAUUGAAAAGACCUUCCGAGCAGACUUGUACAAUCCUGAUGUGAGCUACAUAGACGGAAUGAGCAUCCAGGACGGUUUUAUCUACAGGCUGUCACUGACAAAAUGUGCUGCUUCCACCUGCAAAUGUUUUUUUACUUUUGUAACUUCACCAUAGUACUUCAUUCUUAAAAAAGAAAAGGUUGAGGAACAGUUUUGUGAAAGCAGCCAGACUGGCUAUCAAUAUCCAUUACUGCUGAGAUCCUAUGGAGCGCAUAUGGUACCCUGCCAAAAGGACAGCAAGCUAUGAAUUUAAAUUGUCUACAAAAUAGCAAACAUUUCACUUUUUUUAGCCGUACUGACAAGAUAAACACAAGGUUGUCACCACAAGUUAGCCCGAUGAGGGCUAAAGAGAAGACCGCAAGACAAAGCAGUCCUUCUGCACAGAUUUUUUUUUAAUAUUGUCACAUAAAAAAAGAUGACUAAAUGUCUCGGUCUCUUUCUUCCCCUCUCCAACAUGCAAAUCAUUUAACAAGCAAUCUGUCUUAAAGUAGGCCAACUAUUAGAGACAUGAUCCAUUUACUUUUAUCUGGCGGUGAUGGAGUAGAGCAUUUGUUCGUCGCCCGGCUCCUUUCAUAUUGCUUCAUUGGUGACACAUAAACCUGGCACGCUCCUUAAUGGGAUCUCAUCCAUAAUGUUGAAUGAGAGGGACAGUCAUUUCAUGUGAGGAGAUUAAAAAUAUGAUCUCUAACAAGGGCCCCUGCUGUCCAAGUUGACUCCCUGGGCGCUAAUAAAUUGGAGGGAUGAGAAGGGUCUCCAGAUGUGGAUGUCUCUGUCGGUGAAUGUAUGAUAGCGUCUUUACUGUAAGCCUGAAAGUCAGUCAGUUUAAAAGCAAUACUAAAUACUUUUUGAUAUUUCUUUCUGAUCCGAUUUUUCUGAUCUUAAAGACCCUACAAGGACCUUUUAUUGUGUGUUGAUUCUGGCUCAACCACCUUGUUUCAUUGAUUUCAAUCUGGAAUCUGGGAAUCUGACUGAAUCUGAAGCCAUUAAGAAUAACUAUGUAACUAUAUGCCAAUUGUCUUGCUGAUGGUCUUAGGUAGGUCAGUAUGAAAUUUAGUCUUCUCCCUAAAUAUUUCCAAUUUCUCCCAUUUUCAUACCUAAAUGCAGGCAAGCCCUCUUAACAAAACCAUUACAGGCAGACCACGCCUUGCAAUCAUCUAAUUUCUGCUCAAAACGUACUUAAGCACACCUUAUCCGUUCACUCCCUCCUCGACUCAGUUUCCACAUGAUCGGCAUCAGACAAGAAACACAAAAAACCCAGAAUACCUCGGACCACGGAAAACGAGCCUAUUCUCAACCCUUCAGACAGCCAACAUGUUUGAAAACUCCCGAAAUCUCAGAGUCCUCUUCUUCGCCUACCAUUCCUUUUCGUCAGCUGAGCUUCACCGCCGCUUCUGGGUUCCCAGCGUAGCAUCCGCGGCAACGCCGAUGACGUCACGGCGCAUCCCACGGCACAUCUAUUAAAUGUAUAUGUAAUAGAUAUUUUUACGUUUGUUCGAAAUACUGGUUCGCCACUUAGUUCAGGUAAGCAAGGAAGCAACAGUCAAUAGUUUUAUUUCAGAGUCAUCAUCGUAACAUUAGUUUACAGACGUAGAUGCAUCGACCUCGCCAUUUAAUACAUCCGUCCAAAUGCAACCCUCAUAUCCCCAGAAAACCACAAACCGCACUCGGUCCAAUCAAAUGCAAACAGCCACUAUCUUCCUGCUCUAAAGAACUCAUCGCAGUAGAAUUCACCCUCCCAUUCCACCCAUACUGCGACAUAAUUCGUUCAGCCUUCCCUGACCAGAGCUGUCAGAUACUUGACCCAACCCUGCGGUUUAGCGGCAACGGAUUUUAUACAUCAUAUUACGUUCGCAUACCAAGCCACCGGUUGCCUGCAACAAUUCAAUCAGGGAACUUGUGGGGCCAAAACACUGCUGUGUUCUCGCAGCUCGCUCUUCCCUGAAUCACUUCUCGUUACAUAAAUUCAGACAAUUUGCACUAGCCUCUGAAGCUGUUCCGACUUUAGCUUCAUCCCGCUCGCCAAUUCCAUCGUUAUGAUUAUCGUACCCACACAAAAUCAGUUUCGUCACUUCCGAAAAAUCCCGUCCAAAUCAGGAAUUUCCCCAGAGCCGUAUUGGGGCAUUCCCUGCAUCUGAGCCACAUCCACUGCUUCCAGGCAGGGAAUCCCAGAUAACGUCACUAAACUCCUCGGCAGAUGGUCUUCUCAAGCAUAUCUCACGUACAUCUGUAACGAUCUAAACGAUAUCAAAAAUGCCAUGCUUACAAGUCGAUUUGAAGUUUCUUUGGGGGCUCUCAACCCACUCGAUUCUCUCCAUCUCGCCGAACCCCUCUGUCCUGUCAUCCACCCGCCAACAAAUCCAUCCGUUCACCCCUCACCCUUCCUUCCGAUACCCCUUUAUUUCUCAACCUUCAACCCUUCAUCCCUCAACCCUUAUUCCCUUCAUCCCUCAACUUUUCAUCCCUUCAAUCUCUCAUCCUUUCAUCCCUCAACCCUUUCCCAAUCCAUUCACCCCUCCUACAGUACACCACAUCGGUUUUCAUUUGGUUCAUUACGUGCAAUAAACCUUUAUAAAUUCCACACGUUCAUUGGUGUGGUCUUUGUUAGUGAAAGGUAUAGUGUGUAACAUUUAGGAAGCUCUAUUGUCAGAAAUGGAAUAUAAUAUUUUUGUUUUGAAAGGUUAUAAUCACUUGAAUAUAAGAAUUGUUGUCAUUUUUGUGUUGACUCUUGUCUGUUUUUGUGCUGUUUUAGUUCUAAAUUUGUUUCUCACUGCAUAAGAAAAUCGAAAUGUGGCGCGAGAGCCUGUGGAAAGUUUCUAUUGCAUGAGUCUUACUGUCUCACUAAGCUUACAUCAACCAAUAGUGAAAAACACCCCAUUAUCUACAGCAACAACUUAUCCAAUUAGCUAGCUAAUUACCUGAAGAUGGCAAUGAACUUGUCGACCCAUAACUUCAAGUUUAGUCAUAUAUGGAGGGUUUAACUCCCGCACCAGCUGCAGGCUUGCUAACGUUAGCGUAAUAGGGGCUUUCAGGAUAUCAAAUAUGGUAACAUUUUACUCUUGAGCAUUCAGAUAUAGAGUGAUUUUGACCAGGUUAGAUGCAUUGCCCUGGCCAGCUUUGUAUUUUGUAUUACAGAGUCUGCGAUUGAU